GACGAACCGUGCGAACGUUGUUCGGAAUUACUGGGCGUAAAGCGCGUGUAGGCUGCUCAGAAAGUCGGAUGUGAAAGCCCUGGGCUUAACCUAGGAAGUGCAUUCGAAACUUCUGAGCUUGAGUUCUGGAGAGGAAGGCGGAAUUCUCGGUGUAGAGGUGAAAUUCGUAGAUAUCGAGAGGAACACCGGUGGCGAAGGCGGCCUUCUGGACAGUGACUGACGCUGAGACGCGAAAGCGUGGGGAGCAAACAGG
rnacentral:rRNA from 1 species